UUAAGCGACUAAGCGUACACGGUGGAUGCCCUGGCAGUCAGAGGCGAUGAAGGACGUGCUAAUCUGCGAUAAGCGUCGGUAAGGUGAUAUGAACCGUUAUAACCGGCGAUUUCCGAAUGGGGAAACCCAGUGUGUUUCGACACACUAUCAUUAACUGAAUCCAUAGGUUAAUGAGGCGAACCGGGGGAACUGAAACAUCUAAGUACCCCGAGGAAAAGAAAUCAACCGAGAUUCCCCCAGUAGCGGCGAGCGAACGGGGAGGAGCCCAGAGCCUGAAUCAGUGUGUGUGUUAGUGGAAGCGUCUGGAAAGGCGCGCGAUACAGGGUGACAGCCCCGUACACAAAAAUGCACAUGCUGUGAGCUCGAUGAGUAGGGCGGGACACGUGGUAUCCUGUCUGAAUAUGGGGGGACCAUCCUCCAAGGCUAAAUACUCCUGACUGACCGAUAGUGAACCAGUACCGUGAGGGAAAGGCGAAAAGAACCCCGGCGAGGGGAGUGAAAAAGAACCUGAAACCGUGUACGUACAAGCAGUGGGAGCACGCUUAGGCGUGUGACUGCGUACCUUUUGUAUAAUGGGUCAGCGACUUAUAUUCUGUAGCAAGGUUAACCGAAUAGGGGAGCCGAAGGGAAACCGAGUCUUAACUGGGCGUUAAGUUGCAGGGUAUAGACCCGAAACCCGGUGAUCUAGCCAUGGGCAGGUUGAAGGUUGGGUAACACUAACUGGAGGACCGAACCGACUAAUGUUGAAAAAUUAGCGGAUGACUUGUGGCUGGGGGUGAAAGGCCAAUCAAACCGGGAGAUAGCUGGUUCUCCCCGAAAGCUAUUUAGGUAGCGCCUCGUGAAUUCAUCUCCGGGGGUAGAGCACUGUUUCGGCAAGGGGGUCAUCCCGACUUACCAACCCGAUGCAAACUGCGAAUACCGGAGAAUGUUAUCACGGGAGACACACGGCGGGUGCUAACGUCCGUCGUGAAGAGGGAAACAACCCAGACCGCCAGCUAAGGUCCCAAAGUCAUGGUUAAGUGGGAAACGAUGUGGGAAGGCCCAGACAGCCAGGAUGUUGGCUUAGAAGCAGCCAUCAUUUAAAGAAAGCGUAAUAGCUCACUGGUCGAGUCGGCCUGCGCGGAAGAUGUAACGGGGCUAAACCAUGCACCGAAGCUGCGGCAGCGACACUGUGUGUUGUUGGGUAGGGGAGCGUUCUGUAAGCCUGUGAAGGUGUACUGUGAGGUAUGCUGGAGGUAUCAGAAGUGCGAAUGCUGACAUAAGUAACGAUAAAGCGGGUGAAAAGCCCGCUCGCCGGAAGACCAAGGGUUCCUGUCCAACGUUAAUCGGGGCAGGGUGAGUCGACCCCUAAGGCGAGGCCGAAAGGCGUAGUCGAUGGGAAACAGGUUAAUAUUCCUGUACUUGGUGUUACUGCGAAGGGGGGACGGAGAAGGCUAUGUUGGCCGGGCGACGGUUGUCCCGGUUUAAGCGUGUAGGCUGGUUUUCCAGGCAAAUCCGGAAAAUCAAGGCUGAGGCGUGAUGACGAGGCACUACGGUGCUGAAGCAACAAAUGCCCUGCUUCCAGGAAAAGCCUCUAAGCAUCAGGUAACAUCAAAUCGUACCCCAAACCGACACAGGUGGUCAGGUAGAGAAUACCAAGGCGCUUGAGAGAACUCGGGUGAAGGAACUAGGCAAAAUGGUGCCGUAACUUCGGGAGAAGGCACGCUGAUAUGUAGGUGAAGCGACUUGCUCGUGGAGCUGAAAUCAGUCGAAGAUACCAGCUGGCUGCAACUGUUUAUUAAAAACACAGCACUGUGCAAACACGAAAGUGGACGUAUACGGUGUGACGCCUGCCCGGUGCCGGAAGGUUAAUUGAUGGGGUUAGCGCAAGCGAAGCUCUUGAUCGAAGCCCCGGUAAACGGCGGCCGUAACUAUAACGGUCCUAAGGUAGCGAAAUUCCUUGUCAGGU
rnacentral:rRNA from 1 species